rnacentral:other from 1 species
GAUUCCCUGGACUAUUUGCCAGCCAGUUAGUCCUCGAGCCGAUUGACACCAAACUGGGGGUCUCUCGAUUGCAGCCUGUGUGCAUGUCCGCGCGUCGGAAAGCCUGAGGCACAGCAGAGACCGCCGCCUUGAACCGUUGGGUUCAAGGGCGACAUUGGCAGCGGUAGUUCCGGGGAAUCC